CCUACGGGGUGCAGCAGUGAGGAAUAUUGGUCAAUGGCCGUAAGGCUGAACCAGCCAAGUAGCGUGAGGGAAUAAGGCCCUACGGGUCGUAAACCUCUUUUGCCGGGGAGCAAGGGCCGGGACGAGUCCCGGUCCGGAGAGUACCCGGAGAAAAAGCAUCGGCUAACUCCGUGCCAGCAGCCGCGGUAAUACGGAGGAUGCGAGCGUUAUCCGGAUUUAUUGGGGUUAAAGGGUGCGUAGGCGGGCUUUUAAGUCAGCGGUAAAAAUUCGGGGCUCAACCCCGUCCGGCCGUUGAAACUGGGGGCCUUGAGUGGGCGAGAAGAAGGCGGAAUGCGUGGUGUAGCGGUGAAAUGCAUAGAUAUCACGCAGAACCCCGAUUGCGAAGGCAGCCUUCCGGCGCCCUACUGACGCUGAGGCACGAAAGUGCGGGGAUCGAACAGGAUUAGAUACCCGUGUAGUC
rnacentral:rRNA from 1 species